rnacentral:rRNA from 1 species
GGCCAGACUCCUACGGGAGGCAGCAGUGAGGAAUAUUGGUCAAUGGGCUUACGCCUGAACCAGCCAAGUCGCGUGAGGGAAGACUGCCCUAUGGGUUGUAAACCUCUUUUGUCAGGGAGCAACGCCGGCUACGUGUAGCCGGACUGAGAGUACCUGAAGAAAAAGCAUCGGCUAACUCCGUGCCAGCAGCCGCGGUAAUACGGAGGAUGCGAGCGUUAUCCGGAUUUAUUGGGUUUAAAGGGUGCGUAGGCGGAAUGCCAAGUCAGCGGUAAAAUCGCGGGGCUCAACCUCGCUCCGCCGUUGAAACUGUCGGACUAGAGACGGCGAGAAGUACGCGGAAUGCGCGGUGUAGCGGUGAAAUGCAUAGAUAUCGCGCAGAACUCCGAUUGCGAAGGCAGCGUACCGGCGCCGGACUGACGCUGAGGCACGAAAGCGUGGGUAUCGAACAGGAUUAGAUACCCCCGUAUA